CUGCUUCUGCUUCUCACUGACGCACGCUGCUGGCACAAGUGGCCUUGUGCCUCCGGACUGGGCCUGAGAAGGGAGGAGUUAUUCAUCCCCCCAAGCUUUCAGGCCCCGGGGAGAAUCUUUCAUUCCUGUCUAUUUGGUUAUAGAAAAUGGGAAAAGGGGCGACUUUCUCAAUAACUACUUCAGGCGUGACAUAGGGGGUGGCGUGGGCACCUCGGAAAAAAAGAAAACCUAAUUUUGGGUGUAUUCUUGAGAGACGGAUUGGUAUCUGUCGUGUCGUUGUAGCAGGAGCAUCGUCUGGAUUGUCUGGUGGUUAACUGUAGUUUCAACAAGAGUUUUAAUGGCUUUUAUUAUCAGUGGGAUAACACAGGGGAGAAACAGGAGGACCCCAGUGAUGAAGAUUACUGUCCUUACCAGUGUUCUAAAUCCUUCUAAGUUAAAGAACCACCCCCCUAGAAGGUUGGUUGGGUCCCAUCCCUUCCAGGUUUGGACUGGUACAUGGGCUACUUUUCUGAUAUUUGAAGCGAUUUCUAGAACCUCUUUUCCGUUAUCGUCUAUGUUAAAACAGCAAUUGGAGAUGUUAAACUUACCACAGACCGCACCCUCUUCUGCUAAUAGUCUAUUGCCAGCCUGUUUUGAUAAAUUGCUGCGCGCAUUUGGUUUUGUUGUCACGCGAGCAUUUCCAGGGCUGAGGCGGUUUGGUUAGUGAUUAUCUCUAGAACAGCCUGUAGUCUAAUUAUUCUAUUUAGCAUAUAUGCGGGAGUGCGAUAACCCCGUGAACCAUCCUCAGCCCAGGUGGCAGGACCGUAAUAUUCGAUGAUCCGUUGCGGAGGCCGCUCGUCCUCUCGCCGUCUUUGGCUUCCUCCUGCCUUUAAGGACCGUUUUUCUCUGGUUAUCAUACGCAGGGACUCCGAGGGUGUUGCCCGCCUGCUUUGGAAGUAAAAUGAAUCCAGGUUUAAUUGUGCCUAGGAAGCAAGUACCUUGCCAGUGAUAAGGUAGCCGUGAGUAAGCCUGGGUUCCCCAUAUCCAGAGGAAUCCAUCAGGGCAGUCCAUCGUCGGCUGGUGUUCCUAGGAUUGUCACAUAGUGCACUUAGGCAGGGGUAGGCGGCAGAAGGGUUAGUGGUGUUUGUACAGUUCCAGGCCUUUUUUGACAAGGCACAAUUUAGGUAGCUUAAGUUAGAAGGAGACCAGGCUCCGGGGGGUAACCUUGGCCACCACUCGGCUGUGGAGGCGUUGACUGUUAGGGUUUGGUGACAGGGGCUUUCACCUACGGCGCCAUGGGUUUUAUCAGUCCACUUGCGGGAUAUGCACGCCGUCCCUCUUACUGGGUUGGUAAGUGUCCAGGUCGGCGGGCGUUCCUGAGAAUUCAAAGUGAGGCUGGGGUUUUGAAAUGCUAGUAAUUAAGGGGGAAUGUCUAUCCCAUACCACGGCCACUGUUCAGUCCUGUGGGCUCCCCCACGUACCCAGCAAUUGGACACAUUCGUGGAAGUGUCCCUGUCUGAUGUAACUGCUACGUGGUACCCGGAUGGCCUCUCUCUGAUCCUCAGGGGUAUCUGUCUUCCGGCCAGCCUUCUUCCUGCUUCUGCUACCGUGCUGACACACGCUGCUGGCGCAAGUGUACCUUGGGACUGGGCCUGAAAAGGCGGGAGUUAUUCAUCCCCCCAAGCUUUCAGGCCCCGGGGAGAGUCUUUCAAUGCUUACAAUCCCAGCACUUUGGGAGACAGAGGUGGGUGGAUCACGAGGCCAAGAGAUCGAGACCAUCCUGGCCAACAUGGUGAAACCCCAUCUCUACUGAAAGUACAAAAAUUAGCCGGGCAUGGUAUCACGCGCCUGUAGUCCCAGCUACUCGGGAGGCUGAGGCAGGAGAAUCCCCUGCACCGGGGAGGUGAACAAUGCAGUGAGCCGAGAUUGCGCCACUGCACUCCAGCCCGGCAACAGAGCAAGACUCCGUCUCAAAAAACAAAACAACAACAAAAC
rnacentral:sRNA from 1 species